rnacentral:rRNA from 1 species
UACGGAGGAUGCGAGCGUUAUCCGGAUUUAUUGGGUUUAAAGGGUGCGCAGGCGGUACGGAAAGUCAGCGGUAAAAUUACGGAGCUCAACUCCGCCGAGCCGUUGAAACUGGGUUACUUGAGUGUGUUUGAGGUAGGCGGAAUGCGUGGUGUAGCGGUGAAAUGCUUAGAUAUUGCGCAGAACUCCGAUUGCGAAGGCAGCUCACUGGAGCGCAACUGACGCUGAAGCUCGAAAGUGCGGGUAUCGAACAGG